rnacentral:rRNA from 1 species
CCACAUGCAGUCGAACGGUAACAGAAGCAAGCUUGCUUUUUGCUGACGAGUGGCGGACGGGUGAGUAAUGUCUGGGAAACUGCCUGAUGGAGGGGGAUAACUACUGGAAACGGUAGCUAAUACCGCAUAACGUCGCAAGACCAAAGAGGGGGACCUUCGGGCCUCUUGCCAUCGGAUGUGCCCAGAUGGGAUUAGCUAGUAGGUGGGGUAACGGCUCACCUAGGCGACGAUCCCUAGCUGGUCUGAGAGGAUGACCAGCCACACUGGAACUGAGACACGGUCCAGACUCCUACGGGAGGCAGCAGUGGGGAAUAUUGCACAAUGGGCGCAAGCCUGAUGCAGCCAUGCCGCGUGUAUGAAGAAGGCCUUCGGGUUGUAAAGUACUUUCAGCGGGGAGGAAGGGAGUAAAGUUAAUACCUUUGCUCAUUGACGUUACCCGCAGAAGAAGCACCGGCUAACUCCGUGCCAGCAGCCGCGGUAAUACGGAGGGUGCAAGCGUUAAUCGGAAUUACUGGGCGUAAAGCGCACGCAGGCGGUUUGUUAAGUCAGAUGUGAAAUCCCCGGGCUCAACCUGGGAACUGCAUCUGAUACUGGCAAGCUUGAGUCUCGUAGAGGGGGGUAGAAUUCCAGGUGUAGCGGUGAAAUGCGUAGAGAUCUGGAGAAUACCGGUGGCGAAGGCGGCCCCCUGGACGAAGACUGACGCUCAUGUGCGAAAGCGUGCGGAGCAGACAGGAUUAUAUACCCUGGUAGUCCACGCCAUAUACGAUGUCUACUUGGAGGUUGUGCCCUUGAGGCGUGGCUUCCGAGCUAACGCGUUGAGUCUACCGCAUGCGGAGUACGGCCGAACGUUAAGACUCAAAUGAAUUACGGGGGCCCGCACGAGUGGGGUAUCAUGUUAAUUCGAUGAACUGCUUACCUGUCUGACUAGUCGUGA